CCGCCCUUAGCUCACCAGGAUAGAGCGGUCCCCUCCUAAGGGACAGGUGGCAGGUUCGAAUCCUGCAGGGCGGACCA
rnacentral:tRNA from 1 species